rnacentral:rRNA from 1 species
UACGUAGGGGGCAAGCGUUGUCCGGAAUCAUUGGGCGUAAAGCGCGCGUAGGCGGCCCUGUAAGUCCGUUGUGAAAGUCAAAGGCUCAACCUUUGAAAGCCGAUGGAUACUGCAGGGCUAGAGUCCGGAAGAGGCGAGUGGAAUUCCUGGUGUAGCGGUGGAAUGCGCAGAUAUCAGGAGGAACACCAAUAGCGAAGGCAGCUCGCUGGACGGUACUGACGCUAAGGCGCGAAAGCGUGGGGAGCGAACAGG